rnacentral:misc_RNA from 1 species
GUUUGGUAGAAAAUGUUGAACCUCUGAAGCAGGCUUUGAUGGACCUUAAGCUUCCAACUUUUCCUGAUAUGUCCCGGUUGACCAAAGGCUCAAAUACGAUCAAACAGAUACCUACCGUAAGAGAUAACCUAGAAAGCUGCUUGAGAUGUUAUCUGACUCAAACUAGUGAGAUCAUGGGACAACAACUUGCAUUGGAAGAGG